UUUGGCCAUUUAAGUUUUGAUAGCAUGUGCUUGGCAUGUUGAGAACAAUGAUCCUUUGUUUCAUUCUAUUCUAGAACAAUAGCUCCCAAUAAAUAAGAGUUGUCUAGAUCAAAGGAUUCUCACCAGCCCUCCCUCACUCCCAACCUACUCCAUCAUCUCUAUUGCAUUGAAAAAGGGUAUAAGUAUCCAUCAUUGUUGGUGAUUUUAAAAAAGGACAAGUAAAACAGAAGGAACAGAGUGGGGAUGGAAAAAAAGGCAGCCCAGAACACUGUAUUGAGUGCUAAACUUGUAUCAGGAAGACUUCUAUUCCAAAUACACCUCUGGAUUGCUGGAUCUUCCUCAAACCCCCAUGAGUAACUAAGUCCCGCCGGUGGAGACAGGUGGCGCCCAACGUGGGGCUCAAGGCACGGACCCUUGCCAGACGGACCCCAGAGAAGUCAUCGGGACCCCUGCUGUUUGAAGUUUCGGCCGCUGAGAGGGACUCGGUAGAGAACUGGACAAAUUGCCAACACUCCCUAACGGUGGUUUGGCUGGCUCUCUGUGGAGCCUCCUUCCCGGCCCCCUCACCGCUCACGAAGAGCCCCAGUCCUUGGGGGGGACAUGUUGGAAGCCGAAGGCCCCCGCCCAGGUGCCUUUCUCAUGGCCCCAGCCCAAGUGCCUUUCCCCACCCCUUGCUGCAACAGAAUCGCACAGGUGGUCAAACAAUCCUGAGAACUGCAACCUGGCAAAACAGUCUUGAGAAUCAAUCUUGAGUUGUCACCACACUAUGUUCCUGCUCACUGGACCAGCUAUAGCCCAUGGUCUUUUCCCAGACCCUACCCUCCUUCUCUUUCCCAUGCUUUUGCUAUAUAAGUUGUAUCCUGAGAGCAAUAAACUGAGACCUUGGCAACAAUCAGC